rnacentral:piRNA from 1 species
UCCUAACUCAGGGCUUCAUGUGUGUGUGU